UACAGAGGUUCCAAGCGUUGUUCGGAUUCACUGGGCGUAAAGGGUGCGUAGGCGGUCGGGCAAGUCUGAUGUGAAAUCUCGCAGCUUAACUGUGAAACUGCAUUGGAUACUAUCCGGCUCGAGGAAUGGAGGGGAGACUGGAAUACUUGGUGUAGCAGUGAAAUGCGUAGAUAUCAAGUGGAACACCAGUGGCGAAGGCGAGUCUCUGGACAUUUCCUGACGCUGAGGCACGAAAGCCAGGGGAGCAAACGGG
rnacentral:rRNA from 1 species